CGUGGAGUGGUGGGGUCCCUCAGCCCAGAUUGUGAGAGGGUGCAGGCCAGGCCGAGGGACCCCAUUGGUGCAGG
rnacentral:pre_miRNA from 1 species